rnacentral:rRNA from 1 species
UACGAAGGGGGCUAGCGUUGUUCGGAAUUACUGGGCGUAAAGGGCGCGUAGGCGGCGUGUCAAGUCAGGCGUGAAAGCCCCGGGCUCAACCUGGGAACCGCGCUUGAGACUGGCAUGCUCGAGUUCGGGAGAGGAUGGUGGAAUUCCCAGUGUAGAGGUGAAAUUCGUAGAUAUUGGGAAGAACACCGGUGGCGAAGGCGGCUAUCUGGACCGACAUUGACGCUGAGGCGCGAAAGCGUGGGGAGCAAACAGG